ACUCCUACGGGAGGCAGCAGUGGGGAAUCUUGGACAAUGGGCGCAAGCCUGAUCCAGCCAUGCCGCGUGAGUGAUGAAGGCCCUAGGGUCGUAAAGCUCUUUCGCCAGGGAUGAUAAUGACAGUACCUGGUAAAGAAACCCCGGCUAACUCCGUGCCAGCAGCCGCGGUAAUACGGAGGGGUUAGCGUUGUUCGGAAUUACUGGGGCGUAAAGCGCGCGUAGGCGGACUGGAAAGUUGGGGGUGAAAUCCCGGGGCUCAACCUCGGAACUGCCUCCAAAACUCCCAGUCUUGAGUUCGAGAGAGGUGAGUGGAAUUCCGAGUGUAGAGGUGAAAUUCGUAGAUAUUCGGAGGAACACCAGUGGCGAAGGCGGCUCACUGGCUCGAUACUGACGCUGAGGUGCGAAAGUGUGGGGAGCAAACAGGAUUAGAUACCCUGGUAGGAUAGCG
rnacentral:rRNA from 1 species